GACAGAGGGUGCAACCGUUGUUCGGAAUUACUGGGCGUAAAGCGUGUGUAGGCGGCUACGCAAGUCGGAUGUGAAAGCCCCGGGCUCAACCCGGGAAGUGCACCCGAAACUGCGUGGCUCGAGUACCGGAGAGGUUGGUGGAAUUCUCGGUGUAGAGGUGAAAUUCGUAGAUAUCGAGAGGAACACCGGUGGCGAAGGCGGCCAACUGGACGAGUACUGACGCUGAGACACGAAAGCGUGGGGAGCAAACAGG
rnacentral:rRNA from 1 species